UUCUCGAGCCUGGUCUUUUCUUUGCCACCACUCUUUCCUCUCCAUAAUGUGUUCUCGUCGUGACUCUUCCCACUCCUCGACGUCGUCCUCGCCGCGAUGCCUUGGCGGACGCUGUUCCUUGCCGCAACGCUUAGCUUUUUCCCUCGCUGCGAUGUCGUCCCCUCCGCAAGAUCUAUACGCAACACUUUAUGAGCACUGCUGUCGGAGGCCGUUCCUCGCCCGCAUUCGGAGAUGGACUUCUCGAGGGCAAAAAUAGCCUGAUGGUUUAGCAUCCGUAGACCAUGUGGCUUAUGGAAUUAAGAAGAGCAUAUCUUCUUGAGUCAAUGCUCUGGUUAUGACAAUGUUAUGUUAUCUUGUCUCCAGAUUUUAGAAAGCAUUAUUAAUUUAAGAUAUUUUGUGACU